UCAGAGCAAUUUAGUAAGAACACAAAAUAAUGAAGCCAAAAGAUAUUAAUAAAAAAGAAGCACUAAAUGACAUUAUUUUAUUGACUUAUUUUGUCAUCCAUAUUAGAGACAAACUGUGUCAGCGAUCUCAAUAAUGGAACUUGAUGGAGACUCACGAAUACACAAAUACACUGCAUGAUAAUAAUUUCUGUAUUAGAAAAAUUAUAUUGCAAUAAAUUGGAAUUAUAAUUAUAAUUUCAAAAGAAAUGUAAUGCAAUUAAAUUAUAAACAUCUAAAUAAAUUAUAAUUUAAAAAAUAAUGUUAAAAGUAAUUAAUUGAAUGAAAAAGUUAAGAACAAUAUUGAGAAUAAGCAAAUUAUAUGUAAUCACUUUAUUUGUAUAAAAUAAUAAAUAUAUUACCUAAUUAAAUUACACAUUUAAAAUAUUUUAUAUUACGUUAACUAUUUUAAUUAACAUUUUUUUAGUAUUAAAAUAAUUAUAAUUUAAGAUAGAGACUGAAAGAGAACACCAACAGAUAAAACUAACCCAAAAAAAAUGGAGGAGUAAAAAAAAAUCCAAAUAGAUUAUAUUUGGAUUAUUUUUUACUAAAGCCUUAAAUUUAAUUAAAUUCGAUUAUAUUUUUAUUUCUCAGCUUUAAAAUAUUUAAAAAAAUGUCAUUCGCUAGGGUUGAAUUAAUAAAAAAUUAUAAUAUGGAUUAAUGUUCAAUUCGUAAUACGUUAUAUAGCAAAACAGAAUGGUCUGAUAUAUAUUAUUAUAAUAAUAAAAGAUAUAAAAACUUAAAAUCAUAUAUUGGAUAGAAGUUGGUGUAACAUCAAAAGUGAAGAUUUUGUUUCGUGUUUUUUUAACAGUAAUAAAUAAAUUAAAUAAAUAAAAACUUAUAAAAAUAUGAAUUAAAUUGAAAGAAAAAACAUACGAGAGCAUGUUAUUGUCAAAAUUAUAGACCAACAAAAUUAUAGACGUUAGGUUUUUACCAUUCAGUCAACCAUAAAUAUCUAUUAUUAUGGAACUUAAUUCAGUUUUAAUUCAGUUUUAGAAUUUAAUUAGUUAUGUGCAGUUUUGUUACUGUACUAGUGGAUAGUUAUAAAAUUAUUUAGGUUAUUCUAGCUAUAUAAUAGUAAACUAUUAUUCAAUAAAAGUGAGUACUUUCUCUCAUAUUAUCCACUCUUAAAAAAGGACGUCUUUGUUUUAUAACAUUUGGUAUCAGAUCUCCAUCAUGGGGCCUGAUUAAACCUAGAAGCAGCAAUCUUCUACGAGAGAAAAUAUGUCAGAAAGUUCAUUUGUGCAACCAACAGUUCCAAAAUUUGAUGGGCACUAUGAUCAUUGGGCAAUGCACAUGAAAACUUUUAUGCGCUCUAAAGAGUACUGGGGCGUGGUUGAAAAUGAGGUUCCUGCAACAGCAAAAGGUGUUGGCCUCACAUAUGCCCAGAGAAAACACAUUGACAAUCAGAAGUUGAAAGAUUCGAAAGCAAAGAACUAUCUAUUUCAAGCAUUAGAUCGUUUUAUCUUGGAGACGAUCAUUCAUAAGGAUACAUCAAAGAACAUAUGGGAUUCUUUGAAGCAAAAAUAUCAAGGUUCGUCUUGCGUUAAGCUUACAAGCUCUUCGAAAGAAGUUUGAAAUCCUUCACAUGAAGGAAGGCAAAUCUGUGAAUGCACAACGCAUGAGUUAUCAUAUAGAAGAAGAACACACUUUGAAGAUUACUUACGUAACACAAUCUGGAGGAAGGGUUCGAGGUCGUGGCAGAGGAAGAGGACAGGGAUGAGGUAGACAAAGCUUCAAGAGGCCACAGUAGAGUGUUAUCAUUGUCACAAGCUAGGCCAUUUUCAAUGGGAAUGUCCAAGCAAGGAGGAGGCCAACUAUGCAGAAACUGAAGAAGCAAAUGUGUGGUUUCUUGACUUAGGGUGCAACAAUCAUAUGUGUGGGAAGAAGGAAUAUUUCUCAAAAUUUGAUGAAAGUUUUAGAGAAUUAGUGAAGUUGGGUAACAACACAAGCAACAAGCAUGGUCGUAUCAGGUAAGAGUAAUAUACGGCUGCAAGUAAAUGGAAUAGCACAGAUAAUUACAGGGGUAUUCUAUGUUCCAUAACUGAAGAACAAUUUGUUGAGUAUUGGGCAAUUACAAGAAAAAGGGCUUACGAUUCUGUUUCAAAUGAUUCUGGCUUAAUCAUGGAGACCAAGAUGACUUCAAAUCGAAUGCUGGCAUUUGUGGACCGAUCACACCCAUUUCUAACAACAAGAAACGGUAUUUGAUUACUUUCACUGAUGAUUUUAGUAUAAAAACAUUGGUCUAUUUUGUUGUUUUUAAAAAAUUUAAGACUCAUGUUGAGAAAGAAAGAAACUCAUUUAUUAGAGCCUUACGUACUGAUUGAGGAGGAGAGUUUACAUCACAAGAAUUCAAUAUUAUAUAGCCUUUACAGAAUAACCCAAACAAUAUUAAAUACCCAUUAGUAACAGUAUGACUAAUCAAAUCCUAAAACUGAAUUAAAUCUCAUAAUAAUAGGUAUUUAUUGUUGACUGAAUGGUAAAAACCUAACAUCUAUAAUCUUAACAAUUCCUCCCUUAAAAUGAAUGUUAGUAUUCAGUUCAUCUCUUUCUCAUAACAAACUCCUGAUAGUCAUCUUAGCUUCAAGAAAACAUCCAACUUCAACGGUUUAGUCAUCACAUCAGUACAGUGUUCCUUUGUGCCACAAUGUACCAAUUCCACAGAAUUUGUGAGCUCUCGAAGGAAAUGAAACCGCACAUCUAUGUGCUUACUGCGACCAUGCAUAAUUGGGUUCUUUGAGAGUUUGAUUGCAUAACUGCUAUCAUAGUGGAAGAUAAACUUACUAUUGGUCGUUUUUUUAUGACCAUGAAACUACUCCCGAACUCAAUAAGAACACAUAACUUGAAGUACUUUUCCUUUCAUCCAAAUCUUCAGCAUAAUCAUUGUCCGUGUAAGCAAAAAAAUUAUCAUCUCCUCCCUUUCUAUAAAAUAUACCCAACCCAAUUGUUCCCUUCAAAUAUCUCAUGACCCUUUUUGUUGCUUGUAAAUGAAGUUCAGUAGGAUUCUCCAUAUACCUACUAAUAAGACUUACCACAAACAUCAUGUCUGGUCGAGUUGCUGUGAGGUACAUGAUACUACCCACAACUUGUUUAUAGUAAGUCUUGUCCACCUUUACUUCAUCUUCAUCUUUCAUGAGUUUAUAGCUAGGAAUAAUAGGAUUAUGUAGAGUUACUGUUGUUCAUUCCAAACCGUUUUAACACCUCCAAUGCAUACUUCUUCUGACUGAUAAAAACACCAUCAGAUCUUUGCAGGACUUCAAGACCAAGGAAAUACCUCACCUUACCAAGAUCUGCCAUAUCAAACUCAUGUUUCAUGGAAGCUUUAAACUCUGUAAACAUCAACUCAUCAUCAAGACAAGAAAAGAAGGCAAAUUGUUAACCGUAAGUCUUUAUGUUGAUGAUCUUAUUUUUACUAGAAAUAAUGAGUUGAUGUUUACAGAGUUCAAAGCUUCCAUGAAGCAUGAGUUUGAUUCAGUAUAUCUUGGUAAGAUGAGGUAUUUCCUUGGUCUUGAAGUCCUGCAAAGAUCUGAUGGUGUUUUUAUCAGUCAAAAGAAAUAUGCAUUGGAGGUGCUAAAACGGUUUGGAAUGGACAACAGUAACUCAGUUCAUAAUCUUAUUGUUCCUAGCUAUAAACUCAUGAAAAAUGAAGAUGGAGUAAAGGUGGACAAGACUUACUAUAAACAGUUGUGGGUAGUCUCAUGUACCUCACAACAACUCGACAUGACAUGAUGUUUGUGGUAAGUCUUAUUAGUAGGUAUAUGGAGAAUCCUACUGACUUCAUUUACAAGCAGCAAAAAAGGGUCCUGAGAUGUUUGAAGGGAACAACUGGGUUGGGUAUUUUUUUAUAGGAAGGGAGGAGAUGAUAAAUUUGUUGCUUACACUGACAGUGAUUAUGCUAGAGAUUUGGAUGAGAAGAAAAGUACUUCAGGUUAUGUGUUCUUAUUGAGUUCAGGAGCAAUUUCAUGGUCAUAAAAAAAAACAACCAAUAGUAAGUUUAUCUUCCACUGAGGCAUAAUUUAUUGUUACAACUUCAUGUGCAUGUCAAGCAUUAUGGCUAAAAGGAGUGUUAGAAAAGUUGGUUCAGAAUCAAGCCAAUCCAACUAUUAUUUAUUGUGAUAGCAGUUCUGCAAUCAAACUCUCAAAGAACCCAAUUAUGCAUGGUCGCAGUAAGCACAUAGAUGUGCGGUGUCAUUUCCUUUUAGAGCUCACAAAGGCUGUGGAAUUGGUACAUUGUGGCACAAAGGAACAAUUUACAUAUGUGAUGACUAAACCGUUGAAGUUGGAUGUUUUCUUGAAGCUAAGAGGACUAUUAGGAGUUUUUUAUGGGAAAAAGAUAAAUUGAAUACUAGCAUUCAGUUUAAGGGAGGAAUUGUUAAGAUUAUAGAUUUUACCAUUCAAUCAAUAAUAAAUACAUAUUAUUAUGGAAUUUAAUUCAGUUUUAGGAUUUGAUUAGUCAUGGACAGUUUUGUUAUUGUUACUAGUGGGUAAUUAUAAUAUUGUUUAGGUUAUUCUGUAAAUGCUAUAUAAUAGUCAUCUAUAUUCAAUAAAAGUGAGCACUUUUUCUCAUUAUAUUUACUCUUAAAAAACGGUUUCUCUAUUUUUUAACACAUGGGUAAAAUUUGUCUAAACUAAAUUUCUAGUAACUUCUAAAAUUAGAGAUGGAAAUAUUACUGCAACUUAAACCCUAAACCAUAUUUGCAUCAAUUUUGUUCGUGACUGACUAACAUUUGUUAUGUAUACUAGUAGAAUUGAAUUUUCAAAUGUUUAUAUGUUUGCAUUUCAAAUUAUAACAAAAUUGAGAUUAAUAUUUGUUAAUGUAGUAUAUUAACACUACAAGAAAAAUCCAUUUUAGUUGCUAAUAAAAAAUGAGAACUAUAAAAAAGAAGUCAUUAGUAUAGGUGAAGUCUACUCAAGUUGGAAACAAAAAUAAAUGUCAAAUAUUAUGUUCACAAUAGAGACUUUUAACUCACACUAAAAAUUAUUAAAAUAAUAAUAAGAAGUUAAAAUCAUUUUGAGUUUAUUCUAGCAAUUGUUUGAUUGGUCUUAUCAGGCCACUCGCUAUCAGGUCGGAUCACCCAUAAUAUAUAAUCACACUAAAGAUUAGGAUAUUUCAUAGUAUAUAGGUGCAAACCCUCAUUGAUUUUAUGAGAUUAAAGUUAGACUUAAAAUUCACUUCUUAAUAAUUAUUUAAUUUUAUAUCCAUUUUAGUCUCUCCCAAAUCUACGUUAUAGUUAACUAAUAUUUUUUCUUUAUGUAGGUUUAAUCAACACUUUCUAUUGAGAUGUUAAGCCCACACUAAUCUCAUGUAAUGUCUUUCUUUUGUUUUUUAUGUCGUUUUUUUGAGAUUAUACCAUCAUUACUUUUUGUAGUGUAAAUUUUGGUAAACAAGAAUUAAAUAUAAUAAAUACGGUGUACAGUUAAAUGAUAGAAAUAGUUUAUGGUUACCAUAAAGAAUACUAUAUAUAAUAUUAUAUUUAUUAAAGAAUUCACUAAAUAAAGUUAUAUUCUUUUUUAUAUAAUGGUAUAAAUAAUUGUAUUUUUUAUGAGUAAUUAACUAAAAAAUAAAAAACAAUAGAAUAUAUAUAUAUAUAUAUAUAUAUGCGUGUGUGUAAUUUUAUAAAAGUAAUACUAAAAAAAUUAUUUAACCAUUAUUUUAAAAUAUUUUUUUAGUUAUUUUGAAAUAAAAAGCUAUUUACUUAUUUAAACACGUAUUAGAAUGAAUUGAAUUAUAUAUAUAUAUAUAUAACAUUUUUAUUACAUUAAAAUAUAAUAGUGUAUCCUUUUUAUAUAAUGGUAUAAAUAAUUUUAUUAUUUUUAUGAGUAAUUAAUUAAAAAAAGAAAUAACACAAUUUAAAAAAUAUAUAAUUUUAUAAAAGUAGUAUUAAAAAAUUACGUUACUUUUGAAAAGAGAAACUAUUUUGAAAUAAAUUUUUUAAUUCAAUUAUUUAUUUUUUUAACUAAAAAAUAUAUUAUAUUUAUUUGUUAAAGGAUAAAAUUAUCUAAUUAAAAGAUGAUAUCAAUGAAAAAUACUAAACUAUAUAUCAUCUUUAUAUAAUAGUAUAGAUGUUUUAAAUGCAAUAUUAUUAUUUUUAUAGUACAAGAAAUACAACCACAUAAAAUAAAAGAAAAACUAAAUUGAACCUGAAUACAUUAAUCAUUAAAGAAAAUAGUUUUACACUUUUUAACUUAAGAGAAAGUGAAAUAUUAUAAGCCUUUAAACUCCUAAUUUAAUUAUAUAAUGAUUCUCAUAAUUUAUCUAACCUAUUGAAACACAACUUAAGAAAAAAACAAAUGAACUAGUUUCAAAAGUAAGAAAAUAAGAUAAAAGGGUAUUUGAAUAAACAUUUUUAGGGCAUGAAAAUUAGAAAAACGUGAAAUGUUUUUUAUACUGUAUAUUUUGAAAAAAAAGCUAAUAUAAAAGAGUCUUUAUAAGUCAUUUUUAUGUAUAAAUUAUUUUUAACUUUUUUUUUUAUGUUUUUCAAUAAUGAUUUCUUAUUAGUUUUAACUUCAUCCUUCUGCUCUCACAAAAAUGGUGAUAAUAUAAAGCUUGAAAUGUAAAUCUUUUUCUGCAACUAUUCAUAAGACAUGAAGGAAUUUACCAUGUAAGCAGCACUGAGCAAUGAUUUUCAUAUCCUGUGAAGAAAUUACUGUGUGGAAGAGAGUUGAAAGAACGUUGCUGCGGUGCUU
rnacentral:lncRNA from 1 species